rnacentral:lncRNA from 1 species
GCUCUCCCCAGUCAGAAGCUUAACUGAAGCCAGAGCUGGGUGGACCCUCGCCCACCAGGAAUAGCGGCUAUAAUGACAAGGGUCAUUGUGUGUUUUGCUGCUUAAUGAAGCAGAGACAUUCCUCAGGCAUUUUGUCCUGGACACAGACCAUGUUCCGUGCUCCCCACCUUGCACUGAGGUGCGUGGAAGUUGGCCUACAGCAACGAGAGACAGAGCCCUGAAAGCUUCUCAGACUUCAGUCCUGCCCUUCCACAAGCUCUGCGGAGGCCCAGUCCUGCUUCUACUGGACACUUCUCAGGCACUGACAAGAAAAGUCUCCAUUGCUCGGGGGAGAAACAAAGGGGUGAAAGCAG